CAGUAGCCGCGGUAAUACGAGGGGGGCAAGCGUUGUUCGGAAUUAUUGGGCGUAAAGGGCGCGUAGGCGGUUUGGCAAGUUUGGUGUGAAAUCUUCGGGCUCAACUCGAAGUCUGCAUCGAAAACUGCCGGGCUUGAGUAUGGGAGAGGUGAGUGGAAUUUCCGGUGUAGCGGUGAAAUGCGUAGAUAUCGGAAGGAACACCUGUGGCGAAAGCGGCUCACUGGACCAUUACUGACGCUGAGGCGCGAAAGCUAGGGGAGCAAACAGGAUUAGAUACCCCAGUAGUCCCUGUCUCUUAUAC
rnacentral:rRNA from 1 species